UCUUCCCCGUGCCCUUCCCUUCCCUGCAAUCCAAACACCCAAAACCAACCCGUCUUCUACCUCAUCACCAGAGCCCAAGGCUCAAUCAGCCUUUUAGCUUUCUAGGUAUAAAUACCAUUUCCAACUCCCUACCAGACAGGGAAACACUCACAGGGUCACAGUCGCAGCCACACCCGCAGCGAAAGAGGGAAACCAGCUCUCCGGCACAUGUUUGAAGCUGGGUUUUGCUACGGCCAUGUGAGGUUCGAAGCUGUGUUUUGCUGCGACCCUGUGAGGUUCGAAGGUCGCGGCUGCGUUUUUCAUGGGUUGUAGAAGUUGUGGGUUGAUGUAGAAGAUGUGGGCUGGGAGUCUCAGGAGGGAGAAGAGGGGUGGGGAGGGGUUGCGGGGAAGGUGGAGUGGGUUCUGCGUUUUUCAGUUUUUUUUUUUUUUUUUUUUUUUUUUAGAAGAUUCAGGUUUUUUUUAGGUAGUAGCCACCCGCACUUAACAGAUCAAUGGAUAGAAAAUGUAAUAGAUGUAUUAUUUUGAAAUAAAAUAGUAUUUGAGGUAUGAAA